AUGCGUUAGGGAUUGCAGCGGUAUCCUUUUACUGUUAUGCUGAGCUUGUGAAAGUAUGACAGUAAAAGAUAUAGCGUAAAGCCCGGCCUAAA
rnacentral:sRNA from 1 species